rnacentral:lncRNA from 1 species
GUGCAUGCUCCUGGUGCAUGAUUUGCAUGCAAACCUUGCUUGGUGCAUGCUCCCAGUGCACACGGCGCUUGCAAACUGUGCUCUGUGCAUGCUCCUGGUGCACGAUUUGCAAGCAAAGGUGCCCCGUGCACGCUCCCAGUGCACACUGUGCAUGCAAACUGUGCUCUGUGCAUGCUCCUGGUGCACAUUCUGCAUGCAAACCUUGCUCUGUGCACGCUCUUUGUGCAUGUUCUGGGUGCAAAACUGUUCCGUGCAUGCCCUUGGU